UACGUAGGUGGCGAGCGUUGUCCGGAUUUACUGGGCGUAAAGCGCGCGCAGGCGGUUCGUUAAGUCCGGUGUGAAAGCUCCCGGCUCAACUGGGAGAGGUCAUUGGAUACUGGCGGACUCGAGGGAUGCAGAGGAAGGUGGAAUUCCCGGUGUAGUGGUGAAAUGCGUAGAGAUCGGGAGGAACACCAGUGGCGAAGGCGGCCUUCUGGGCAUUUCCUGACGCUGAGGCACGAAAGCGUGGGGAGCAAACAGG
rnacentral:rRNA from 1 species